AGAUUUACAUCUAAUUCAAAUAGCAUUUAUUUUCCUUCCUCUUAUAUUCUAUAAUAACUAUCGACUCUCCUUAGCGCAAGCAGCAAAGGACUUAAUGAUUGAAAUCUGCUGUUUUAAGUUCGAAUUCUAAUUAAUUCAUAUUUUCAAUUAAGUUUAUUUAAAAAAAAAAUAAACGAAGCUGAUAAUGCAUACAACUAAUUAUGAAUGCAUCUCAUAUAUAUAUAUAUAGGAAUAAUUUCAUAGAUGCCCUUCUAGAAAAUUAUUAAUUUCAUCCAUACCCUUCUAAAAUUGAUAAUAUCACAAAUACCCUCCAAUAGGUUAAAAAUUAUCAUAAAUGCCCUCUAUUAGUUUAGAUCCGUUAGGUCCCAUUUGAAACGGAGUUAAAUUUUUAAAAUACCAUUUUUACCCUUUAUCUCUUA
rnacentral:lncRNA from 1 species